rnacentral:rRNA from 1 species
ACGCUGGCGGUAGGCCUAACACAUGCGAGUCGAACGGCAGCACAGUAAGAGCUUGCUCUUAUGGGUGGCGAGUGGCGGACGGGUGAGGAAUACAUCGGAAUCUACCUUUUCGUGGGGGAUAACGUAGGGAAACUUACGCUAAUACCGCAUACGACCUUCGGGUGAAAGCAGGGGACCUUCGGGCCUUGCGCGGAUAGAUGAGCCGAUGUCGGAUUAGCUAGUUGGCGGGGUAAAGGCCCACCAAGGCGACGAUCCGUAGCUGGUCUGAGAGGAUGAUCAGUCACACUGGAACUGAGACACGGUCCAGACUCCUACGGGAGGCAGCAGUGGGGAAUAUUGGACAAUGGGCGAAAGCCUGAUCCAGCCAUGCCGCGUGUGUGAAGAAGGUCUUCGGAUUGUAAAGCACUUUAAGUUGGGAGGAAGGGCCAUUACCUAAUACGUGAUGGUUUUGACGUUACCGACAGAAUAAGCACCGGCUAACUCUGUGCCAGCAGCCGCGGUAAUACAGAGGGGUGCAAGCGUUAAUCGGAAUUACUGGGCGUAAAGCGCGCGUAGGUGGGUUUGUUAAGUUGGGAUGUGAAAUCCCCGGGCUCAACCUGGGAACUGCAUUCAAAACUGACUGACUAGAGUAUGGUAGAGGGGUGGUGGAAUUUCC